rnacentral:rRNA from 1 species
UGACAGUACUCCUACGGGGAGGCAGCAGUGGGGGAAUAUUGCACAAUGGGCGCAAGCCUGAUGCAGCCAUGCCGCGUGUGUGAAGAAGGACCUUCGGGUUGUAAAGCACUUUCAGUCGUGAGGAAGGUAGUGUAGUUAAUAGCUGCAUUAUUUGACGUUAGCGACAGAAGAAGCACCGGCUAACUCCGUGCCAGCAGCCGCGGUAAUACGGGAGGGUGCGAGCGUUAAUCGGAAUUACUGGGCGUAAAGCGCAUGCAGGUGGUUUGUUAAGUCAGAUGUGAAAGCCCGGGGCUCAACCUCGGAAUAGCAUUUGAAACUGGCAGACUAGAGUACUGUAGAGGGGGGUAGGAAUUUCAGGUGUAGCGGUGAAAUGCGUAGAGAUCUGAAGGAAUACCGGUGGCGAAGGCGGCCCCCUGGACAGAUACUGACACUCAGAUGCGAAAGCGUGGGGAGCAAACAGGAUUAGAUACCCUGGUAG